AUGUUAAUUUGCAUUGAUUGCAAACAGGGUGCGGGAUUCUCUGGCGGAAACAAAGAAAUGGUCCCGGACAAAGGAAGCAGUCUCUUCAGUCCGGCGCAUGCCUCAAAUUCAUUUUCCUUUGAAUUACUCAUUUUUUUGAAUUUCGCACCAGAAACUUUUCUAGGAGAAGUUCGAAUCCGUUCCAUUCGGAUAUUGAUCGGUCUUGGUUUGACAUGGUUUACGCGUUACUGGUACCUAGAAGAGUCAAUUUCUCCAUUAGCUAAACCCUUUAUUACCCUACCUUUGGACUUGUAUUUUGUUUGUACACAAUCAACAGAGGGCCCCCCGACAUAUGUUGCAACAUCUUCAAUAGCAUGCUCUUACUUCGUCUUUCCCUUAAUUAGUCAUCAUAUUUGGUGCUUUUCGAUCCCCAGUUGCUAUGGGGAACAAAGGCAAAAAUACAAUAGAAUCCUCCAUUUAAGUGGUUCCCGCUUCUCCUUGUUCCUGCUCCUAACUCCUCCCCGGGUAGUUCCCAAUGUUUGGCACUCCAUACUUCAUGGGUGCAACAUCAACAAAUUCGCUCAUGAUCAAGUUACAACCUAA
rnacentral:rRNA from 1 species